GAUGAACGCUGGCGGCGUGCCUAAUACAUGCAAGUAGAGCGCAGAGGCGAGGACUUUGUCCCUUUGACGUUUAGGGCGGAGGGGUGUGUAACGCAUAGGUAACCUCUCUAUACGACUGAGAACACUUCGAAAAACCGGAUCUAAUACCGUAACAUAUUUCGAACCGCAUUGUUCGAUAGUAAAAGAUGGCUUUGCUAUCACUUAUUGAUGGACCUGCGCCGUAUUAGCUAGUUGGUAAGGUAACGGCUUACCAAGGCAAUGAUACGUAGACGACCUGAGAGGGUGAUCGGCCACACUGGAACUGAGACACGGUCCAGACUCCUACGGGAGGCAGCAGUAGGGAAUCUUCCGCAUGGGGCGAAAGCCUGACGGAGCAACGCCGCGGGAUUGAUGAAGUUCUUCGGACCUUAAACCUCUGUUAUUAGGGAAAAACAAUCUUGGAAGUAACUGUGCACGUCUUGACGGUACCUAAUCAGAAAGCCACGGCUAACUACGUG
rnacentral:rRNA from 1 species